CCCUUAGAUGUCCUGGGCCGCACGCGCGCUACACUGAGUGUCUGAGAUACGAGUCUGCCUGGUCCGGCAAGGUCUAGGUAAUCGCUAAAAGACACAUCAUGCUUGGGAUAGAUUAUUGCAAAUAUUAAUCUUGAACGAGGAAUUCCUAGUAAGCGCAAGUCAACAGCUUGCGUUGAUUACGUCCCUGCCCUUUGUACACACCGCCCGUCGCUACUACUGAUUGGAUGUUUAAGCGAAGUUCUCGAACUGCUAGCGACUUAGCUUCGGUGAGGUCGCAGUGUGGGAAGUGAACCUAGCUUUGGUGUCUAGAGGAAGUAAAAGUCGUAACA
rnacentral:rRNA from 1 species